UACGAGAGGCCCAAACGUUAUUCGGAUUUACUGGGCUUAAAGAGUCCGUAGGCGGCGCAGAUAGUGGGGUGUGAAAUCCCUCGGCUUAACCGAGGAAUUGCGCUCCAAACUCCUGUGCUAGAGGAAUCUAGAGGUGAGCGGAACUGAUGGUGGAGCGGUGAAAUGCGUUGAUAUCAUCAGGAACACCGGAGGCGAAGGCGGCUCACUGGGGAUUUUCUGACGCUGAGGGACGAAAGCCAGGGGAGCGAACGGG
rnacentral:rRNA from 1 species